AACGAACGCUGGCGGCAUGCCUAACACAUGCAAGUCGAACGAGACCUUCGGGUCUAGUGGCGCACGGGUGCGUAACGCGUGGGAAUCUGCCCUUGGGUUCGGAAUAACUCAGAGAAAUUUGAGCUAAUACCGGAUGAUGACGUAAGUCCAAAGAUUUAUCGCCCAGGGAUGAGCCCGCGUAGGAUUAGCUUGUUGGUGAGGUAAAGGCUCACCAAGGCGACGAUCCUUAGCUGGUCUGAGAGGAUGAUCAGCCACACUGGGACUGAGACACGGCCCAGACUCCUACGGGAGGCAGCAGUGGGGAAUAUUGGACGAUGGGCGAAAGCCUGAUCCAGCAAUGCCGCGUGAGUGAUGAAGGCCUUAGGGUUGUAAAGCUCUUUUACCCGGGAUGAUAAUGACAGUACCGGGAGAAUAAGCCCCGGCUAACUCCGUGCCAGCCGCCGCAGUAAGAC
rnacentral:rRNA from 1 species